UUCAGAUAAAAUCUCCAUUCUGUAGCCAGGCAGCACCUGUGGGACCAGCCAAAUAGAUUCUCCAAGCCCCUGGACUGCAGCAUCUUUAAAGUUCCAACAAACAGCUUAGGGCGUAUAUGAGAAGAGGUGCACAUCAUAUGCUUUAAUUGGGCUUAUUACCUUUUAUUUAAUGUCUUUUGUCUCUAACCUAGAGCACAAUCAUAAUGUAACCGCUAAGGGACUGAACAUAUCAAGCUGCCUUAUAGAGAGUCAGUCAAUGAAUCCAUCUUCUCUACUGCUGUCUACUUUGGACCGGCAGUGGCUAUGCAGAUGAUCAGACACCUGACAAUGUUGCCUGAAGUGUCUUGGUGGUGCAAAACUUCAAAGUUCACAGCGACCAGAAGUUCAAUUGGAUGCAAGUGGUUAAGGAAGGAAAUACAUGGGGAGAGAAAUUAUUUACCUCAGGCCACUUUUCCUGGAUGACGUCAAUGAUGUCGUCUGUAAAGUCCCCCUGAAUGAUUAUUUCAUCCUCUCCUGUUACUGAGGCACCGCAGGAGAAUUUCUGAGCAAAGAACCUUUGUGCUUCCUUAAGGUCUAUUUCUGUUUGGAGUAGAAAAGAACACAAAUAAAACAAUACUGAUUUCA